AUGGAGGAGGCGGCGGCGACGGCAGUCCAGCUCCCUGACGAAGUGCUCCGAAAGAUCUUCCUCCUCGUCAAGGACACGGUGGCCCUCUUCCGCUGCGCCACAGCGUGCAAGCGGUGGUGCAGUUUGCUCGUGUCCGACCCCUCCUUCCUCCGCCGCUGCUUGCCGGAGGACGCGUGCCGCUCGUCGCCUUUCCCCGGCUUCUUCGCCCAGCAACGGCGCCCUAGAGGGCUCCCCGAGCCGUGCUUCGUCCAGGGGCCCCGUCCGGUGUUCGGCCUUCUCGACUGUCCCCGCCUUGUCGGCUGUGCCGACUCCGCCGUGCCGUUGACCUCUCGCGGCGUCCUCCUCCUCGUCCGCGUCGGCGACCUACCAGUCCUGUGCAACCCGUUGACCGGCAGGUUCAAAUCGCUGCCCCCUCUAAAGCUUAACUACGGUUCUUCCAAUUACUCCACCGGGUACGCCAUCCUUACCGCCACGGACUGUUCAAGCUCGGAGGACGGCGACGGCGACGGAGACGGAGACGAGCUGUCCUUCUUCAAGGUUCUCAUCAUGAUCAUCCAGAAGGACACCAUGCAGUACCGUCUUCACACGUUCUCGUCGGCCGGUGACUGGGGAUGGAGCACGUGCGCCGGCCGCGUGAACCACAACCUUACCAAGACCGGCGACGUCUCCACGGCAAAGCUACCGAUCGUGAUACCACGAGACCCCCUCAGCCCCAAAACCCAUGACGAGCCAUACUUUAGCCUCGACGCCGAGGGGAGGCUCACGUUGUUCUCGCUGCAGCUAGACUGCAACCAGCUGGAUAUCUGGACGUGGCACGAUGACGGAAGGCCCGUCCCUACUUUGUUGAAGCUAGAUCCACCGUCGAAGAAGAAGAAGAAGACGAAGGCUGGACGUGGGGUGGAGUACGCGUGCUUGGGGGAGAAGAACGGCACGUUGCUCAUCAAGGACGAUCAACAGCGCGUCUAUGCUGUCAGUGUCAAGACCGGGGUGAUGCAGGAGGUAGCAGAUUGUCCGCGCGGUGGCGUCGGCCGUAGAGAGAUUGUGCCCUUGGAGAUCGAUUGGCCGGCGCUAAUUGUUUCUCGCCUUCGAGAACUGGCCAUGGAGUAA
rnacentral:rRNA from 1 species